rnacentral:rRNA from 1 species
CCUACUGGUGGCAGCAGUGGGGAAUAUUGGGCAAUGGGCGAAAGCCUGACCCAGCAACGCCGCGUGAAGGAAGAAGGCUUUCGGGUUGUAAACUUCUUUUGACAGGGAAGAGCAGAAGACGGUACCUGUCGAAUAAGCCACGGCUAAAUACGUGCCAGCAGCCGCGGUAAUACGUAGGUGGCAAGCGUUGUCCGGAUUUACUGGGUGUAAAGGGCGUGUAGCCGGGCUGACAAGUCAGAUGUGAAAUCCGGGGGCUCAACCCCCGAACUGCAUUUGAAACUGUUGGUCUUGAGUAUCGGAGAGGCAGGCGGAAUUCCUAGUGUAGCGGUGAAAUGCUUAGAGAUCAGACAGAACACCGAUGGCGAAGGCAGCUUACCAAGCUACUUCUGACGUUGAGGCACGAAAGCGUGGGGAGCAAACAGGAUUAGAUACCCUAGUAGUC